GAGCGCCGCCGCGUACCGAUCCUCUCAAUCGCUGCUCACAGAUAAUAGAUUGAAUAGCCCAUCACCAGCUACCACCUGCUCAUUUUAUUGAGAUUGUCAGCCCAUCGGCUGGGAGUACAAUGAAUGCCAAGAGUUGUCUCCUACUUACCUAUUCAUCUGAGGUUUUGAAUGGAGUACCCUUACUCUUCGCAUCUAAUUGCCUCCCUGUGAAGGCUGUGAAUCAAGAACCCGCU
rnacentral:misc_RNA from 1 species